UACGGAGGAUCCGAGCGUUAUCCGGAUUUAUUGGGUUUAAAGGGAGCGUAGGUGGAUUGUUAAGUCAGUUGUGAAAGUUUGCGGCUCAACCGUAAAAUUGCAGUUGAAACUGGCAGUCUUGAGUACAGUAGAGGUGGGCGGAAUUCGUGGUGUAGCGGUGAAAUGCUUAGAUAUCACGAAGAACUCCGAUUGCGAAGGCAGCUCACUGGGCUGCAACUGACACUGAGGCUCGAAAGUGUGGGUAUCAAACAGG
rnacentral:rRNA from 1 species